rnacentral:rRNA from 1 species
AUUGAACGCUGGCGGCAGGCCUAACACAUGCCAGUCGAGCGGAUGAAGGGAGCUUGCUCCUGGAUUCAGCGGCGGACGGGUGAGUAAUGCCUAGGAAUCUGCCUGGUAGUGGGGGAUAACGUCCGGAAACGGGCGCUAAUACCGCAUACGUCCUGAGGGAGAAAGUGGGGGAUCUUCGGACCUCACGCUAUCAGAUGAUCCUAGGUCGGAUUAGCUAGUUGGUGGGGUAAAGGCCUACCAAGGCGACGAUCCGUAACUGGUCUGAGAGGAUGAUCAGGCACACUGGAACUGAGACACGGUCCAGACUCCUACGGGAGGCAGCAGUGGGGAAUAUUGGACAAUGGGCGAAAGCCUGAUCCAGCCAUGCCGCGUGUGUGAAGAAGGUCUUCGGAUUGUAAAGCACUUUAAGUUGGGAGGAAGGGCAGUAAGUUAAUACCUUGCUGUUUUGACGUUACCAACAGAAUAAGCACCGGCUAACUUCGUA